UGCCAGACUCCUACGGGAGGCAGCAGUGGGGAAUAUUGCACAAUGGGGGAAACCCUGAUGCAGCGACGCCGCGUGAGUGAAGAAGUAUUUCGGUAUGUAAAGCUCUAUCAGCAGGGAAGAAAAUGACGGUACCUGACUAAGAAGCCCCGGCUAACUACGUGCCAGCAGCCGCGGUAAUACGUAGGUGGCAAGCGUUAUCCGGAUUUACUGGGUGUAAAGGGCGUGUAGGCGGGACUGCAAGUCAGAUGUGAAAUUCCAGGGCUCAACCUGGAGACUGCACUUGAAACUGGGUGUCUUGAGGGCAGGAGAGGAAAGUGGAAUUCCUAGUGUAGCGGUGAAAUGCGUAGAUAUUAGGAGGAACACCAGUGGCGAAGGCGACUUUCUGGACUGUACCUGACGCUGAGGCGCGAAAGCGUGGGUAGCGAACGGGAUUAGAUACCCGAGUA
rnacentral:rRNA from 1 species